UGAUGCGGUCUGCACCUGUUUAAGCCGUGACCUCGGGGCGGUACGGCUCGGUUCAGGGGUCCGGAUGCCGAGGAUCACAGGUAGAGCUUCUUGACGUCUUUGGGGAAGCGCUCGCGGCAACCCGAUCGGGGCGUGGUCUUCGGAGAUGGCUAGUUGCAGCGUCCCGGUAACGCGGUCGCCGUGUACCUGCACAAAGGUCGGACCGUAUCUUCGGCCCGACCCCUCCGACGGUCCAAUUAGUGGACGAG
rnacentral:lncRNA from 1 species